AAGGUGUUUCCGUGAGAGCAGCUCACCUGUCAAGAAGUUCCCGAUGAAGCGUGCAUAGAAGGGAACCUCCCAGCUAACAAGGUUCCCCAGUCCUGAGCCCCGAAGAGGCGCCCAGGCCACUGAGGAGGCAGCCAGGAGGCCCCUGGUUACAGCAGCAUCCACGGAGCACCUCGGCACCUGGCCCACAUGGAGGGCGCUGGGUUGGCGGGGAGCCACGGAGGACCUCGAAUGGAAUGGACACGGGGACGCCAGCAGAUGUCCCAGGGACGUGCCGUAGAUCGCCCUUCACGCUGGGAUCUGUUCCUACGGGCCUCAUGCCGACCUCGAUCUGAGGGAAGACACGCUGCGGAGGACGGCUGGACUGAGCGCAGCCUUGCGGCCUCGGUUCCAGGGAGGACAGCCCAGGGCGCCCGAGUCCUGGUGCUCAUGACAGACGCCUGUGACACUGGGGACACAUGGACAUUUUCUCUGGAGCAGGACAAGUGAGGGCAGGUUCGCAGCCAGCCCACAGCGCCAGUGGCCCUCUUGACCAGAGUCCUGCCGGGAUCCAGGCUGGCCCACGGGGGCAGGUGGACGCUGCUGCCCGUGGUUGUCUGCAGCUUCCGGAGGCGUGGGCUUCCGAGGCCUGUAGGGUGAGCACCCAGGGUCCCUCGGCCCCAGCGCACACGUCGCCCCCGGACUGGGGUCCACAAGAGCGCCCUGUCCCAUUGUGCGCCCCAGGUCCCUGCAGCAGCCCGGGGCAAUCUGGUUUUAUCACGCACUUGUUUACUUGUCAGCUUGAGCACUGGGCGUCGUGGGAUUCUCACACCCCGCACACCUGGCAGGUGGAGGUGGCUGCGGGGCUAGAUGCUCUCACUCCGCUGGUGGUCGUGCACACGGGAGACAUGACUUUCCAAGCACGUCAGAUGAACUUUGACGUUAUAAUCUCUUCACUUCUUCAGUCUUUAGAAAGCGAGUAUGUUGCACGUCUGGGGGACGUGUUGUCCUCGUUCUGUGGUUUCUGUGGUUCACCUUUCACGUGGUGCUUUCUUAAUCCAGGUGAGUGUUGCACUGGUUCGUUUCUGGCUGCCUCCCCAGCACUCAUCCCAGAACGUGUCCUUGUGCUGCUGCUCAUGGAUAAGGUUUUCUUCUGUAAUAAAAGUCUGCUCUAAAAAAAAAAAAAAAAAAAAAAAAAAAGUCUGCUCUGUUCACUGGGUCCAGUCAUCUCCCUGCAGUUUGGGGGUGCAGUCAGGACCCCCCAGGGAGGUGCUGGGUCUGGCCUCAGGCCUGCAGAGCCAGACACCCAACUGGCCACUGCCUCAAGGUAACCAAACUUGUAAGAGACUGACAUAAUCGGAGAAGGAAUCCACUGACUUAGGAUGAGAGUGACUCCUGUGGGACAAAAUACUGUGUCCCUCUGUAGACACAGCUGUCCCGGCCCCAGGUUCUGGGGGACUAGAGGUUCCUUGGUUGCCUGAUGCCUGCGGUCAUAACCCUGGAGGGGGUCUGGGAGACCCCGACCUCGUGAGACCCUGGGAUGAUGCCCUGCAAGCACUGAGUGCUGAAGAGCCUGGGUUGGGCCCCUGUCCCAUACCCUUGCUCGUUUGCCUUCCAAGGAAGAGCUGUCCUCUUGAGGGCAGCCCUGCCCCCCAGAAGGGUACACAGGAAUACCUGGAGACAUUCUUGGUUGUCUCCGCUGAGGGGAGGGGCCACCAGACCCUGCAGAGCACAGUAUGCCUGGGGGCAAGGACCAGGCCAAGGAUGGGACUGCAAAGUCCCCGCACAGUCAGGUGAUGGGGAGACGCCCGAGGGCAGACAGAGGAGCAGCACUGUGGGCCAGGGCUUUGGGUGGCAAAACCAGGGGCCAGGCAGCUUUCUGCAGAGACCCAGACACUUGACAGGAGGCCUGUUGAGGCUGAAGAGCGGGAGCCGAGCCUCCAAGGCAUCUGGCACCCCACUAAAGGGCCACACAGGAGGGGGUGAGGGGAGACUGAGGAGGGGGUGGGAGAGGCGAGCCCCAGCCACCUCUGUGCGUUCGUUGGGGGCCAUGUGUCCAGAACAGAACUCGGCUGUGGCCAUUGCCCCAUCCCAGAAAGUGGGCCAGCUGCCACACUCCAGCCCAAACGCCAGGUUGUCGUGCCCCACAUCCCAGCAAACAGCAGGUAAUGUCAG
rnacentral:lncRNA from 1 species